GUACACACUCAUAAGUAUGAAACUCAAGAGUUACGGCAGAGAGGAGAGAGGCCACCUGAGGUCACCGGGUCUAGGAAGCUGAGGAAGCCUGAAGAUUUGGGGGCCCUGGAGAGAUGCUGGAAACCAGCACUGUGAUUAAUGGGAAACACUUGAGACAUUCCAGCUAAAGUCAGGAAGAUCUGACUUUGAAAAGUCAGCCCACCAUCACCAUUCCACCUUGACUUUUCCAUGGAGAUGCUGUCACAGAAGUUACUCCAGAAGGAAGAACAAUGAUUUCAGAAAGAAGUAAUGGGUUACAAGAACACUGGAGCUUGUCAGUUCUUAAUACCAGAAGAUCUCAAAGAAAAAUUAAAACAAAACUCAGAAGCAAUUUGGGCUUCUUAGGCAAUAGGAAAAAGCUUCUAUGUACUCAGAAGACCCUAAGUUAACAAAGUCAGAAAUUUUAUCUUCUUCUCAUCAAUGCUUCCCUGGGACCCUUCCUGGAUUAAGAAGAGUAUGAUUUGGGUGAAAGAGUGCCUCUGCCUAGAGAGGCAGGCUGCUGCUAGGACCUCAAGUGGCGUCAUCCUUCUGGUCUCUACUUAUUGAGAAAGAGUGACAUCAUCUGUGUUUUUGACUUGAGCAAUUUUCCUUGAUAGAGUCUGUUCACUGCUUAAGAGUGUUAUGUGGUAACACCCGACAUGGUAACACCAAUACCAUCACCCCAGGAUUUAGAAAAUGAAUAGAAUGAUAGUUCUUCAAAUUUAAAUAGUUCACAAGAAAUAAUCUGGUGACAUCCUGACUUCACAGAUUCAUUCACUCACUUAUUCAUUCAGUUGGAAAGUCAUCCAAUUAUUAUUAAUCACCUGGUAUGUAUUAGAAACUGUUCUGGUCUAAUCUGGGGGGGGAGGACAAUGAUUAUAAUAAAGACAAUAUAACCUAUUAAGUAGAGAUACAAAAUUUUGGAAAGAUUCCAAGAGAAAGAUUCUUCCCCCCCCCAUUAAGUUUAUUGGUGCAAUUUUGGUAUAAAAUACAGUUACAUUCA